GUGGAGAUAACAAUAAAGGGGCAUUUACCCAUACUCGGGUUUUGGUUGGUUUUGAGUGUUUGACUAUUGCUUCUUGUACUCCAUUUCUAUGAACUCUCUUCUCUGUCUCUCUCUCUCAAAAAUAAAUCUGCCGUUCCUCAUUUGUUUUCAUUUGACUCGUCUUUAGGGUUUCUUAGCUAAUCAAGUCAUCAACAGAUUUCGAAAUUCCAUUACUUGGGGUUUAUUCUAACCUCAAAAAAUCAGUAAAAAGUUCGAAACAUUAAGCUUAGAGCAGCUCAAACAUCAACCAAUACAAUUUACUGUGUGGCAUUUUUUCAAGGUUCGCUUUUUCAUUCUUCUUUUGUUCUCAGUUCUGUGAAUUGAUAAUUCAGUUAGAUAUUCUGAAUCCUUGUCGUUGCCUGAGAUCUUUGUGUUGGCUGUUUAGAUUGGUUUAUCAUUAUUUCUGCUUUUUCAAAAAAAAAAGAAAAAAAAAAAGAACUUUCUAUUGGAUCAUCCCAUUCAAUUUGAAUGUCAUAUUCAGAAGAACAAUUUUGGCCUUUAUCUUAUUUGAAAAUUCAACAAUUCUUAUAUUAAAUGCCAGUACAUCUUAAUUAUUGAUUUAUCACCUUAUGUUUUGUUGAAAUUUAGAUAAUUUUAUUUAUUUAAUUAUCCGUUUGUUCUCUUGCUGAUUUUGUGCUUCUCGUGUGUUUGAAACCUAGGAACUUAUAACUGCUAACAGUUGACUAUUUAAUUCUGUAUCGUUGAAAUUGGGAAAAGCAUAUUUAUUUAUAUACCCUACUUCAGACAAAAUAAUCACUCUCUGUGGUAAAUUCAAUGAUACAAUUCUAUUAUAUUGGAUUUAUGUAGUAGUCUAGAUUUGAUCAUUUGUAACACAAUGAUGUUAAAAUAGAAAUUGAGUUGUGUUAUAUUUCACAAUGGAAUCAUGAGUAUUUUUAUCAUACACUGAUUUGGCAGGACUGUAUAAGCCAGUGUAGACACAAAAAUGGGUUGUUUCACAGUUUUAAAAUGUAAGAAGAAGAAGUCCGAACAGAGUAUCCACAUCAAACGUGUGAAUCCUCAGGAGCAUUCUCCUACUGCAUUGCCCGUGCCCCAAGUGCAGACACGGUCAUUGCAGUCAGCACCUCCAAGUUUUAGAACUAGAGUAAAAUCUAUACAGUCGAAUAACAGAGUUACAAGCAGUAGGACACGGGCACUCUCAGCCCCAUCUAGCCUGGACGCAACAGAACAAAAUGCUCUAGCAUCAAAUGAAUGCGAGGAACAGGACGAGUUCAGGAGUCGUGUUGGUUCAAUCAAGGAAUACCAAUCACCAAGUCCUCAGCCUCUUCCCCUUCCAUCUCCACAGAGUGCUGCCACUCUCAAAACUAUGGGAAGCUUUAAAGUUGGCAAUGCCAGCGGUCCGCUAAAUGUCUCUGGACCGCUGCCGCUGCCUCCUACUCUGCCUUCAACAUUGCCUUCUACUGGAGCACUCAGGAACUUCUCAUUUGAAGAAGUUGCUGCUGCCUUCGUCUAUCGCAACAGAUGAACGAUCUGUUAGAUUGUUCAUCUGUUGCAUCAGAUUUCAUACUUGCAUCAGAUUUUAAUCUGGUGCAUCAGAUAUUUUCAUCAGUUGUAUCAGAUGUCUUCAUCUGUUGUAUCAGAUAUUUCAUCUGUUGCAACACUAUUUUUACCCAAACAAACAACAAAUCAACCCAGCAACACCAACACAUCAUACACACACACUAAGAAGGGGUCUCCACUAAGAACAUCAACUGUGAACAAAAAUCACCAACAAAUUCGAAUCAACAGUACGACAACAACAAGAAGAAAUGCCAGAAAUUAGGGUUUUAUUUAGUCCAUAUUUCAAUACUAGAAGAGUAGUUAGCUCAAGUUCCUCUGUUUCUUCGUAAUAUUUUACCUGUGAAAAAAGAAAUGAGACGACGAAGAACUCGAAAUUAUUGUCGCCGGAAAAGUCUUCACAUUAAUUGACGGUUGAAAGUCGAAAGGGAACUCGCUCGACUAUUUUUCAUUGGAGAUUGAAGUCACCGGAGAUUGAAGGGAGAAUUUUGCAGAACUGUUGGUUUGGAGAGAAUUGAGAGAAGUUAUCGAGAGAAAGGAAAAAGACUGAUUGAUUUGGAUUGAAGAAGAAUGUGAAUUGAUUUAUAUUUUUAAAAAAAUUAAAAAAUUUUUAAAAUAUUAAUUAAAUCUAUAAUUAACUUGAUUAAAUUUUCUAAUGAUACUGAUCCUUUAAAUUAAUCAAUGUUACCAAUGUUUCAUUCAAUACUUAAAACACACCUUUCCUUCUCGAGUGUCUUUUGUGAUGUGGUAUGUGGAGAUAACAAUAAAGGGGCAUUUACCCAUACUCGGGUUUUGGUUGGUUUUGAGUGUUUGACUAUUGCUUCUUGUACUCCAUUUCUAUGAACUCUCUUCUCUGUCUCUCUCUCUCAAAAAUAAAUCUGCCGUUCCUCAUUUGUUUUCAUUUGACUCGUCUUUAGGGUUUCUUAGCUAAUCAAGUCAUCAACAGAUUUCGAAAUUCCAUUACUUGGGGUUUAUUCUAACCUCAAAAAAUCAGUAAAAAGUUCGAAACAUUAAGCUUAGAGCAGCUCAAACAUCAACCAAUACAAUUUACUGUGUGGCAUUUUUU
rnacentral:lncRNA from 1 species